rnacentral:rRNA from 1 species
UACACAUGCAAGUCGAGCGGAACGAGUUAUCUGAACCUUCGGGGAACGAUAACGGCGUCGAGCGGCGGACGGGUGAGUAAUGCCUGGGAAAUUGCCCUGAUGUGGGGGAUAACUAUUGGAAACGAUAGCUAAUACCGCAUAACGUCUACGGACCAAAGAGGGGGACCUUCGGGCCUCUCGCUUCAGGAUAUGCCCAGGUGGGAUUAGCUAGUUGGUGAGGUAAUGGCUCACCAAGGCGACGAUCCCUAGCUGGUCUGAGAGGAUGAUCAGCCACACUGGAACUGAGACACGGUCCAGACUCCUACGGGAGGCAGCAGUGGGGAAUAUUGCACAAUGGGCGCAAGCCUGAUGCAGCCAUGCCGCGUGUAUGAAGAAGGCCUUCGGGUUGUAAAGUACUUUCAGUCGUG